UACGUGAGGGGGCAAGCGUUGUCCGGACUUACUGGGCGUAAAGGCGCGUGCAGGCGGAUUGGUAUGUGCCGUGUGAAAGCUCGUCAGCUUGCCUGGGAGAGGUCGCGGUAGACAGCCGAUCUGGAGGCUCGGAGAGGUCAGUGGAAUUCCCGGUGUAGUGGUGAAAUGCGUAGAUAUCGGGAGGAACACCAGUGGCGACAAGCG
rnacentral:rRNA from 1 species